GGGCUCCAUUCACAUUGAGAAGCCACAGACAUCUGUGUAGCAUUACUCAGUGGAUGUUACCAGCUACUAAAUAAGUUAUUCAAAUGAUAAGAGAGCGAGCGAGAGAGAGAGACACAGAGAGAGAGACACAGAGAGAGAGACACAGAGAGAGAGACACAGAGAGAGAGACACAGAGAGGGAACGAGAGAAAGAGACGUGGGGCUGAGGGACAAAAAGACUGACCGAUCGGCAGAUACCACAGUAGGUUUCACCUCAUGACCAGAGCUAUAGUACAGUGCUUCUCAUUCUAUUCCAUUAUCAUAGCUUCCUCUAUGCUUGUCAAGUACAUGGUUAUGGGUCAUUACCCUCCCAUAAAGCACCAUUCAAUUUCAUUACAAUGACUUCUGCCUUCUACUGGAUUUGAUUACAUUUCAUCCCUCAUUUUACAUCACUGAUAUUGUGUUCAUUUCAUUCUCCUCAUCUCCCAUCAGCCAACAAGCACUACUGAUGAAGCGUUUUAGUACUGAUGGAGAGUUCUACUGCCUUUGUGGUGGAAAAUUGAAACAAUAUCAAAGCAAGUGGCCAAAGGAGGUAAAAUACCACAGUAUGAACAGAUCAGAACAGCCAGCUGAGCUCAUACUACUGGAAUAGGAAUAACACCUGAAAACACUCUCCUUCAAUCCAAAGUGUAUCAGUUCCCAGGAUCUAACAUGGAGCACAAAACGCGACUCCUGUCUGGAACUCAUGUGACCCUGCCGACAGUUUCUACUGGGACAGAAAACAAGUGAACACACAGGACGUAGUUUGACCUUCCUUUAGACAGGCGGACUUAUUAACUAUUCCUACUCAGAGAGGUUACAGAUGGAUACUAGUUUAAAAACACAUAACCGAAGCCUCAGAAAGAAAGCAGCAGUAUUCGUGCCGACCCGCCCGCACGCUAUGGGCCCUCUUCCUCAUUACAGCCCCAGAGAGGACCAAGGUUCAUCUGCCAUGUGUCCGGCGCUGCGCCAGAGGUCACUUCUUCCAUUGAUGCAUCCGCAAAUAUGAAUGGCUCCAUGUCAGGCAGUACCGACUGCAUUAAUGCACUCAUGGACUCCAUGCUUCAAGCCAUAUACUGGACCAGAUUAAUGAACACAUUUACUGUUCUGCAUAAUCAGCAUAUAUGUCCUUGAGAGUCACCGCAAAGCUGUAAAGCAAUGACUUGAAUGUGAUAAAGAGAAAGCUUCUUAUCUAAUCAUGAUGUGUUUAGGAUUCCAUGCUGAUUCCAUGUCUGGACUAUGAGACUGAACACGCUGCAGGAGAAUCAAAGCCAACGCUCAGGACAAAGAGCAGAUGUUCGCUAGAUAACCUCUCUCUGGGCAAUCUUGGCACCCUAACCAGACAAGGAUUUCCUGGGUAAACUUCAAGUCGGCUGUGUUGGGAGGGAUUCACAAAGGCCGGGCUGAAGUUGAGCUUUGUGCAGAUGGACAUACGCUAUGUCUCCCACAUAUAUAUCAGUGGGAUCAGGAACAGUAAAAGCUCAUUCCUAGAGCUAUGUGCGUACCUUAGUUGACUGCACAUCAAUCAUAGGCCUAUUUAACAGAUAGGAGCAAACAUGAUCAUAACUGUGAAGUCUGUCAGUGAUGCCAAGAUAUACAGUGUCUUCGGAAAGUAUUCAGACCCCUUAACUUUUUGUUAAGUUACAGCCUUAUUCUAAAAUGGAUUCAAUUGUGUUUUUUCUCAUCAAUCUACACACAAUACAAAUGACAAAUCUAAAAUCAAAAAUUUUGUGAAGUUACAAUAAAUAAUCAUUUAAAAAAAUCACAUUAACAUAAGUGUUCAGACCCUUUACUCAGUACUUUGUUGAAGCACCUAUGGCAGUGACUAC
rnacentral:lncRNA from 13 species